rnacentral:lncRNA from 1 species
GUUGAUACUAGCCCUAGGCCCUACAAACUGUAUGUCUACUUUGCUAGAACCCUCUCUAGCUUCUAUCACAUUAAUAUUGCGAACAACCUCUCGAAGCUCUGAUUCAAAUCCCUGUCCAUCCUAAUCAAUGGUCCGAGAAUUUUCGGGACCAAUGACCUCAUGGCACUUGCUUUAACAAAGGAUCUGGAAAGGCGCUGAACUGGCUUGGGAAGAACACAAACUUUUUUCUUCAUUUUCUUAGCUCGCUUUACAUCUGUCGCAGUAGGUUUGAACCCCAGUCCAAAG